rnacentral:snRNA from 1 species
GUGCUUGCUUUGGCAGCACACAUACCAAAAAUUUGAACAAGAGAAGAUUAACAUGACCCUUGUGCAAGGAUGACAUGCAAAUUCACAAAGUGUUCCAUAUUUUU